rnacentral:rRNA from 1 species
AACGAACGCUGGCGGCAUGCCUAACACAUGCAAGUCGAACGAAGGCUUCGGCCUUAGUGGCGCACGGGUGCGUAACGCGUGGGAAUCUGCCCUUUGGUUCGGAAUAACAGCUGGAAAUGGCUGCUAAUACCGGAUGAUGACGAAAGUCCAAAGAUUUAUCGCCAGAGGAUGAGCCCGCGUUGGAUUAGGUAGUUGGUGGGGUAAAGGCCUACCAAGCCGACGAUCCAUAGCUGGUCUGAGAGGAUGAUCAGCCACACUGGGACUGAGACACGGCCCAGACUCCUACGGGAGGCAGCAGUGGGGAAUAUUGGACAAUGGGCGCAAGCCUGAUCCAGCAAUGCCGCGUGAGUGAUGAAGGCCCUAGGGUUGUAAAGCUCUUUUACCCGGGAAGAUAAUGACUGUACCGGGAGAAUAAGCCCCGGCUAACUCCGUG